CCCUUAGAUGUUCUGGGCCGCACGCGCGCUACACUGUUCGACGCAGCGAGUCUUAACCUUGACCGAAAGGUUUGGGUAAUCUUCAGCAAAGUCGAACGUGAUGGGGAUCGAUCAUUGCAAUUAUUGAUCGUGAACGAGGAAUUCCUAGUAAGUGCAAGUCAUCAGCUUGCGCUGAUUACGUCCCUGCCCUUUGUACACACCGCCCGCCGCUACUACCGAUUGAAUGGUUUAGUGAGAUCUCUGGAUUGACGCUGGCUAGGGGGCGACCCUUGGCCAGACUGUUGAGAAACUGCUCAAACUUGAUCAUUUAGAGGAAGUAAAAGUCGUAACA
rnacentral:rRNA from 1 species